UUUCAUGCCUAAAACAAUCGCCGGCAUGGGAAAUGAGACCACCAUAACAUCUUAGACAAUCAAGAUUUACUACCCAUGGGUAUGGAGAUGAGCCAAGCAUCCAUUGAAGAACAUGUCCAUUUGGUGGACAGUGAACAAAAAUGAGAUCCAUUACUAACAAGGGCUAUUGAAUUGCCCAACAGCAUGGUUUGCCCCACCUGCUUUUCCUUAGUAAUCUUCAUAACAAAUUAAAGCCAGGGGGAGUGUUCUUCUGGUGAAACCACAUUUCAAGUGUUUUCUGUAACCUAUGGACAAAGAUUACUCCUGAACUGUCUUGUCAGGCAUUUUGAUUCUCCAAGCUAUUCCCUCCUUCAUGUACCCUUUGCCUGCCUGCAGAAGUCCCUUUGGUUUAAAUUAAUAUGUGGAAGACUUGUUAUUUUCCUAUUUAAGUGCACAUGUGAGUCCCAGUGAGUUUUACCCUAUCAGAUUCCCUUUCUAUGGUGUUUAGACAAAAGACAACAGUUUAUGUGCCUCUUAAUACACAAAUAAUUCUAGACCUGUCAGCCCUAAACAGUCUCUGGAUUUUCUUUAUCUCUGAGGCUUGCCACUCUGUUGUUUCAUUGUCCUGUUUUAAGCAUGACUGGGUAUUUUUCUCUCAUUCUUCGUAUGUGCUUUUCACGGACUUCUGUUGCUUCUGGUAGAAAGUUUUAUUGGUUUUGAAAUCUGUGCUGCAUAUAUUCUUGGUAGCCUAACCUUCCUCCUUUCUAGUAGUAUCCAAUUGGGUCCCUGUGCUUGGAGAAUUCUAGACUUAACUCCAGCCCCCACAGGUGAGUGUUAAUUGGUGUGGAUCAAUCAUAUUGGUCUUUUCUCUUCAUCCAGUGAUUAGUGUAGGCUUGGACAUGUGACAUCAUCUGGCCAAUGAGAUGUCAGAGACAUCUGAAGAUAAUGGAGAUUGA